rnacentral:rRNA from 1 species
AUGCAAGUCGAGCGGGGGAAGGUAGCUUGCUACUGGACCUAGCGGCGGACGGGUGAGUAAUGCUUAGGAAUCUGCCUAUUAGUGGGGGACAACAUCUCGAAAGGGAUGCUAAUACCGCAUACGUCCUACGGGAGAAAGCAGGGGAUCUUCGGACCUUGCGCUAAUAGAUGAGCCUAAGUCGGAUUAGCUAGUUGGUGGGGUAAAGGCCUACCAAGGCGACGAUCUGUAGCGGGUCUGAGAGGAUGAUCCGCCACACUGGGACUGAGACACGGCCCAGACUCCUACGGGAGGCAGCAGUGGGGAAUAUUGGACAAUGGGGGGAACCCUGAUCCAGCCAUGCCGCGUGUGUGAAGAAGGCCUUAUGGUUGUAAAGCACUUUAAGCGAGGAGGAGGCUACUUUAGUUAAUACCUAGAGAUAGUGGACGUUACUCGCAGAAUAAGCACCGGCUAACUCUGUGCCAGCAGCCGCGGUAAUACAGAGGGUGCGAGCGUUAAUCGGAUUUACUGGGCGUAAAGCGUGCGUAGGCGGCUUAUUAAGUCGGAUGUGAAAUCCCCGAGCUUAACUUGGGAAUUGCAUUCGAUACUGGUGAGCUAGAGUAUGGGAGAGGAUGGUAGAAUUCCACGUGUAGCGGUGGAAUGCGUAGAGAUCU